AAUUGGUGGAAAUAGACCACCUUUAUAGUGCAUUUUGCACAAUAACCUACUUUCAAAACAUUUUAAGUAAAUGGCCUCUUUUUUAAAUGAGUGGGUAUAAUUUUACCCAUUUACCCUUUCAUUUAUUUGACAGAAAUAAAAUAAAAUAAAAUCUAAAACAUUAAAAAUCCCUAAAAUCCACAAAUCCCUAAAUCCUAAAACUCUCUUCUGUUCCUCUCCUUCACGCACGGUGCCGGCACUCACGAAGAUCUUCUCCUUCACGGAUGGCUCACGGCGCCGUCACUCACGGAGACGCAGAUUCUUACUCUUUUGCAUUUUGGAGGAUAUACACUUUUGAGGAACUCAAGUGACCUGUUCCUGAGUUUCAGGUUUGAUACACAGCCAGUACUAAGGAAAAAAAAUUUCUUGCGGCCUUGAAGGAUUAUAUUUUGUUUAUAAUAGAGAUUGGGAUCCAUAGUAAAGUAAAAUCUGGAAUUGUAUUUUGUUUAUGUAUCAAACUCUUAUAGUAUGACUUGUAUUGGAUAUUUAUUAGCAAAGGCAAUGGAAUGGUAUUUUGUUUAUGUAUAAAACAGUUCUGGUAUACCACAAAUUGUUAUAGACUACUUGUGUUGGA